rnacentral:rRNA from 1 species
UACGGAGGGUGCAAGCGUUAUCCGGAUUCACUGGGUUUAAAGGGGGCGUAGGUGGGCUAGUAAGUCCGUGGUGAAAUCCCCGAGCUUAACUCGGGAACUGCCGUGGAUACUAUUAGUCUUGAAUAUCGUGGAGGUAAGCGGAAUAUGUCAUGUAGCGGUGAAAUGCUUAGAUAUGACAUAGAACACCGAUAGCGGAGGCAGCUUACUACGCGAUUAUUGACACUGAGGCACGAAAGCGUGGGGAUCAAACAGG